GGAUCAAUUUGCUGGUCGAGACCUCUGGUACGUACUGGUAUUAUUGAUUUCUUUCAUUCUGAUAAAUCAUUGAUGUCAUUAAUUUGGUGUCGUGGAGAAUCAGGACUGUUACUUUGAAAAAAUUAGAGUGUUUAAAGCAAGCUAACGCUUGAAUACAUUAGCAUGGAAUAAUGAAAUAGGACGUUUGACCCUAUUUUGUUGGUUUCUAGGAUCGACGUA
rnacentral:rRNA from 1 species